rnacentral:rRNA from 1 species
UAGGGAAUCUUCGGCAAUGGACGGAAGUCUGACCGAGCAACGCCGCGUGAGUGAAGAAGGUUUUCGGAUCGUAAAGCUCUGUUGUUAGAGAAGAACGUUGGUAGGAGUGGAAAAUCUACCAAGUGACGGUCACUAACCAGAAAGGGACGGCUAACUACGUGCCAGCAGCCGCGGUAAUACGUAGGGCCCGAGCGUUGUCCGGAGUUAUUGGGCGUAAAGCGAGCGCAGGCGGUUCUUUAAGUCUGAAGUUAAAGGCAGUGGCUUAACCAUUGUACGCUUUGGAAACUGGAGGACUUGAGUGCAGAAGGGGAGCGUGGAAUUCCAUGUGUAGCGGUGAAAUGCGUAGAUAUAUAGGGGAACACCGGUGGCGAACGCGGCUCUCUGGUCUGUAACUGACGCUGAGGCUCGAAAGCGUGGGGAGCAAACAGG